rnacentral:rRNA from 1 species
UACGUAGGGGGCUAGCGUUGUCCGGAAUCAUUGGGCGUAAAGCGCGUGUAGGCGGUCCGGUAAGUCCGCUGUGAAAGUCGGGGGCUCAACCUCGAAUGCCGGUGGAUACUGUCGGGCUAGAGUGCGGAAGAGGCGAGUGGAAUCCUGGUGUAGCGGUGAAAUGCGCAGAUAUCAGGAGGAACACCAAUUGCGAAGGCAGCUCGCUGGGACGUUAACUGACGCUGAGACGCGAAAGCGUGGGGAGCAAACAGG